rnacentral:rRNA from 1 species
UACGGGGGGAGCAAGCGUUGUUCGGAUUUACUGGGCGUAAAGGGCGCGUAGGCGGCGCAACAAGUCACUUGUGAAAUCUCCGGGCUUAACCCGGAGCGGCCAAGUGAUACUGUCGUGCUAGAGUGCGGAAGGGGCUACUGGAAUUCUCGGUGUAGCGGUGAAAUGCGCAGAUAUCAGGAGGAACGCCGAUUGCGAAGGCAGCUCGCUGGGACGUAACUGACGCUGAGACGCGAAAGCGUGGGGAGCAAACAGG